UGAAGGCCCGUUCACUCCUUCUGCCUUCAACCCUGUCCUGGGCGGGGCUCAGCCUGCUACACGGCCCCGCCCACGCCGGCGGCCCCGCCCACUCCGCCUCACCUGCGCUGGAGCUCCGGCCAACGCCCGCCAGGCGCAGGGCUGUGUGACAACUCCCAUACACCACCGUCCUCACCUCCUCUCCAAGUCAGAUGCAUCUGUCUCAGAGCCCUUGCGCACGGCACUGGGGCUGAGAGCAGCGACCCUACCUGGUAAAGUUGGAGGUCACUGUGCCGUCUAAAUCACGAGGAGCCAUUUGACUGGUGUGAGGUGAUAUCUCACUGUGGUUCUGAUAUCCGUUUCCUUCAGAGCGUGGCCUAUUCUGAAUGUCCAGUGCAGGCAGCGCUCCUGGACAAGAUGGCGCCCAGAACCUCUCCUUCUCCCCAACAUGGUCAUGGAGGAGGGGUGGAACCAGGAGGGAAAUGGAAGAUGGCCAGACAAGGUAAAGUUGGGGCUUUUGUAAAAAGGCUCUUCUCAGAUUUGGCCUUGGACUAGGAUAUUGUGAGAGUCUCACAGCACGGGUGAUGUCAGGGGCAUCCCUGAAAUCUUCCAAGACCUAAGACCCUCCCAGCCACGUGGUCCCUGCCUCAUGCAGCGUUAUAUUAUUUAUUCCAAGACCCCGAGGCCACAGCUCCAAAGGUGACGGGCCCCAGUAGCCACAGGUGAGGCCACAAAAGGGUUCCUGGAGCCACAUGCCAUGCCCACUGCUCACUGAACACACUGACCGCGAUCUAAGCAGUUUUUUCAUGGACUAGUGAGGGGACCCUCUGAUCACAACCUAAAGCAAAAGGAAAGCAGCAGCCCCCAAAGUUCCUACUGUUUCAAAAUGUACAUUUAGUAGGAGAGGAAAACAGGGUAGAGAGAAAUGGUGGGCACCCGGCGCCGGGCUCGCUGCCUACCUUUGUCAGGGUUAUUCAGCUGGAAGAUAUCGGGGUGCUCGGGGUCAUCAGGAAGCUGCACCAUCCAGCCCACAACGGAGACCUUUUUGCCGGGUGUGGAUUUAUACUGGGGAAGAGCAACAGCGUAACCAGGAGGCCCACGCCCUCCAUUCCCCCGCAUCGUCUCUCCCAGGAAGGCUGGGGGGCCCGGCGAGGUUCCUUCCCACCCCUGCCACCUCCCCUGCCUCCCUCCGCCCCUCCUCUGCAGGUCACACUACAUGAAGUCCCAGCAUGGAAAGUCCUUUCAUGGGACUUACGUGUUUUCUGUCCGUGCCCCGCAAGGACUUGGCUCCGUAGUACAGGAGGGUGGAUCCCGAGAGGAUGACCCAGUACCUGGUCCACGAGGAAAGCUGCAGAGGAAGAGGAGGCAGAGUGACACCCCAGCAAGUAGUGGGGAAGUCCCCCCUCCCUGUCUGAUUACAGACCCAGCCCCGUGGGUGGAAGGGUGCCCCCCCCCCCCGGCCUCAAGCCAAUGCCAGUGCUGGCUUCACCUCCUCACCUCUUCCCUGGCCACUCACCCACUAAUGUCACUUCUACCCAGGGCCUAGAGGAGGGAGACGCUCCUCAUCUGUGCCUCCGAACUCCUCAGCCCUAAGCCCUACCUCCCCUCUCUGGCUCCUUUACUCAAGAGCCUUUCGUUUCCUAGCUUGUUUAAGGCUUGUUAAGAGCCAAGGCUUAAUUCCUACGUAUUGAGGUAACUUGGGCCCAAGAAUAUCCUGGGGAAAAAUAUUUUUAUUUUUUACUUUAAAAAAAUUUUUAUUUUUUUAAAUGUUUAUUUACUUUUGAAGGGGGGAGGGGCAGAGAGAGGGAGACAGAGGGUCUGAAGCGGACUCCACACGACAGCAGAGAACAUGAUGGGGGCUCAAACUCAGAACUGUGAGAUCAUGACCUGAGCCGAAGUCGGACGCUUAACUGACAGAGCCACCCAGGCGCCCCAGGGAAAAACAUUGUUAAAACCCAGACAUGCUCAGCCAUCGCCCAGCAGAACCAUGAUACCCGCACUGGGGUGCUCUGGCUGAGAUGGAAUGCCAAUGCUGUGCUGACCCUCUCGAGGGCAGUACCAACCUAACUCCAGGGCUCUGCCAGCUUCCACUUGCCCUCAUCACAGCCCUGGCUCACCGCACGCUCACUGUGUGCACGGCCAUGCAUGUGACCUUCUUGCCAAGUCCUCUAGGACACAGACACUAUUUUAUCCCAAUUUACAGAUAUGGGAACUGAGGCCCUUGCCCACUCAGUGGCACAGCCAGGGCUGGAGCCCGGGGCCCUCACCGAUGCCCCGGCCGCCUCCGGGUGGAGGGCUGUCUGCACUUACCGCGGGCUUCCGUCCUUCCUUGAGCAGAGUUUUCCUCCUCAGAGGACCCUCCAUGGUGGGCACUGCGGCUGAGCUCCCCAGCGUACAGAUGCACGGGCCCGUGGGGCUGAGGGGAGACCACCAGUCAGAUGCCGCCCUGCAGGAGCUGGUGUCAGGCACCCUCUCCCUCCCACGUCCCCACUGCAGAGUCCCUGAUCCUGCGCCAGGCCACAAACUCAACGCUAUCGAGAAAAGGCCAGGGAGGGGCCCCUGAGGCCGAGGGCAGCUUGAAGGAAGAGGGGCCAGGGCGGCCGCAGCCGCAAACUUUCACCUCCCUCGUCUUUCUGAGCCUGCAAGGCCAGAGGCUUGGUGACCGAGCUCCCUAUAACCCAGGCCCCAGCAGCACCCGCCACCCUGUCCUGAGCUCUGCGGUGGCUUCCUCCUGCCUUGCCCCUGUGCUCCCACCUUUCUCUGGGGCCUAUGCAGCCCCUCCUUGUGUGGGCAGGAGCCUGGAGGAGCAGUGGGGGAGGUGGGGGUGGAGUGAGGAGCGGGGAGGAGGACAGCUGACCAGCCCUGCACCUUUGCCUCAGGGCUCCCUUCUCCCCCAGGGCCGCAGGGUUUCAGGUGCCACCUACAGGUGAAGGCCGCCAAGUGCAGCUCUGACCGGGACCUGUCCCCUGGGCUUCACUCACUGGGCAGGCGCCUCCCAUGGGCAUCUCCCUCAACUUGGCGCCUUUCCUCAAGCUGCUUUUUCUCCACGUGCGUGUGAAUGGCACCGCCGUCCACCUGGCGGCUUGAACCAGGGACCUGGGGUGUUUCUCCACUUACUCCUCCACCCCUGCAACCUACUGAAUCCCGAGGAUGCCCUGAUCCCAAGUCCUACAUAUGCCUGACUACCCCUCUCAGUCACCCUGCCCGCCCCCGCCCCCCCUACCUUAGGCCAACUUGGCUCUUCCUUUGGACAACUGCCCGAUGCUCUGCCCCGGCCUCCCUGCGGCCCCUCCUGCCUUCCUCCUGCACCCUCUCCAGCUCUCCAUGCCUCUGGCCAGGAUGACCUGGUCAUGCCACAGUCUGUCACCUCCCCCCAACCCUGCUCGGUCCCACCUCUCCAACCUCAUCUCCACCCCUCCCCCUCUCAUUUCUGACAACACUGACUCUCCUUCAUUUGCUUCGGCUUGGGGCACUCUUAUUAUCGCUACACCUCCCCUCCCUGUAUUUGCUUAAUUCCUAUCACUCUUCCAGUCGUUUCUCCAGAGAGCCCUUCCUUGCUCCAUCCCACCUCCACUCUGGGACCAUCAGUCAUCCGGGAUUAUCCGUUAGGCCUGUUUCUCCCGUGGCAGCGGCGUCCCGGGCCAAGGCAGAGGCCACGUCUGUCCCAUGAGCAACCUCUAGCACGGUGUGUGGCCUCCAACGAGCAGCCUAGAGCUGUUCGUCAAAUAACUGAACACACGAAUCAAUGAAUACCUGUAGACGCAGCUCCGGGUCCGGGGAGAAUUCCGAACUGGAACGCGCCAGUUGGGCCCCAGGGUGGCAUAGAGACGUCCCCUGCUUCAGAGGAAAAGGGUGGACUUUUAGCAACAGCCCGGAACAACCAGAUACUCUGAGGAAGCGAGGGUAUCUCGGACCCUGCGGUCAUUAGCUCGGGAAGCUUCAACCUCAACUCUUCCCACACCUCCUCCAUCAUGCUACAGGCACAUCUGGGGCACAUUGGAGCCCCUAGAGGCUCCGUCAGGGCCAGUUCCCAAGGCCCCAGGUGAUUCUUCCCUUAACUUUCUAAUUAAAUGUUUACCCCUCUUCCAGUGGCAGGGGGCGACUAAAAUCAGGGCACACCCACUUACCCAGUGUGAAGCUGACAUAUUUAACAGAAAAAAGCAGGAAAUCCCAAAUGUUCCAUGGCUAAUCCAGCGAAAAGGGCGCACACAGCGACAGAACUGUGGGCAGUCUUGCACGUUGGGCCUGGGGGGGGGGGGUGGGCCCUGGAAUCUCUCCGUGGGCUACCCCUCCGGCUUCUCAGCUCCUCUCUCUCCUGGAGUCCCCAGCAGGCAGCCCUUGCAGAGGAAGGUGCAGUUUCCAGAGUAAGCAGGGAGCUUAACCUAUUUGGGGGGAGGCUUCCAUUUUUCUUCUCUUCGUCUUUUCCUCUUUCAGCAGAAUGACUUCUUGUAUCCACUCGGUCCUCAACCUUCUCACCCCUGCAGCAUGGUCUCUCCCUGGGCUGUAGCAUUCCUUGCCCAUUGGCUAAACAAUGAUGUAACCCAAUUUAUAGUCAGACGGGGUGAAGACUUCCUUUUCAAAUAUUCUCUCUAUUCUCUACUGCCUGUCCUCGGUUGCUGCGUGCUGCCCCACAGCUCUGGACACCUGGGGGUGGCGUGGGACAUCGUCAUUCACUCCAGCAGGUGCGUCAUACCGUAAGUGAGCUCUGGUUCCUCCAAGAGAGGGUGUCGUUGUUCGCUGCCCCUCCAUCCUCCGCUUGAGAAGGACCUGUUCUUGAGGAGCAUCUUGGGUCUGCUGUGCAGAGGCCCAAGUUCAGGGCUCGUGGGAGUCUGAGGCCUUCUAGGCCAACUGCUCUGGGACCCUGCUCCUUCUGCCCAACAGCUACUCCUCUUCAGGAGGUAAAGAGCCACAGCAUGUGCUUGGCCCCUCAAGUCCUCAAAUGCAGUGGAUCUCAGCCUUUCCCCACCACCCCUUGGUGACAGAUGAUGGUCAGAGGCUGACCCCACCCCUGCCCCCGCCAUGAACUGUGGCACAGAGGCGGCCCUGGCAUGCCCAACUCCCAGCCCACAGACCGACGGUUUCCUCCCUCUCUUCCAUUCAGAAAGAGGCUUGCAAUGCAGUGAGUGGGCGACAUUACAGGUCAUGAUGAAUCUGCUCUCACUUAUGAAAAGCUUCAGUACUUUCACCAUUAACUGGGAACACUACUGCGUACCUCACAGCUGAGUGUGGCACCGUGACAUGUUACCACCCCGUGCUUAAGCGGGCUGCCUCCAGGGUUGCUUUCCUCCACAGCCACCACCAGAGGUUUCUUAUGAAUUGGGGCAGAGUGUGACAGUGAACCUUUCUGCGAUGACAUUCCUUGUGGCAGGAAGACGUCUCCUCGCUUGAUCUGGAACCCUGCUCUGAACCACCACCUGUCUGGAGUUGGAGAUGGAGCCUCCCUUUCCAGAGCUGGGUCCUCUGGCCUCUUCUUCUCCACCUUUCAUCUUGUGGGUCUUUUUGCCCUGGUACUCGAAGAAAAUGUGUGAUGACAGCAGGCUGUCCCCAGUGACUGGCAGUUCCACCAACAGGGGGGUGUGGCUGCCACUGCUACCUUCCCUCUGUCGUGCUCUCCUUUCUGAGACUGUCCAUGGCUGCACACUCAAUAGAUGUCUGCAGGACUGACGCUUGUUGACGGAGACCCUUAAACCAACAUCUUCCAACCAGCCUAGCCUUGUAAGCAACCUCUCUUCACAUUCUUUCUAAGGGCGCGGGGUGCCCCCUGGCGCACUGGACUGGUGGGGGAGUGUGGGGGCACGGAGAUCACUAGUGAGUGGGGGCUCAUAUGUGCAAGGCUGUUACACUCACCAUCUCACUGGAGCUUUGUUUAAGUUAAGCACAUUAUCUUCCCCAGAAUAGGGAAACUGAGGCUCAAUGAUGUGAAGACACUUGACAGAGGCCUGAGCGUAAUAAACCAGGACUGGACCCUGUUCUGUCUGGUUGUAUAGCCCAAGCUCUUCCCACACCCUUCAGGGUCACAGGGAGGCCCAGAUGUCACGUGUUGGGGCUCUGCCACAGGCACUGGCUCUGUGUGUGGAACUGGCACCAUGUGGGUGGCUUCUGGGUGCUCUCCCAGAGGUACCCCUCCAUGUAGGUCUCUGCCACAGCUCACACUGAUCAGGCUUUGUCAGUGUCCAUGAGACUGGACGGCCAUAACAGUCUUAGGCCCUAGAUCUCCUUGGGUAGGACCCUUCCCAGGCCCCUCGUCCCUUGGUCUCCGCGCUGGAGUAACCUUCUGGUGGUUUUGGCUGACGGGCACGGAAGGGCAACUGCUUACCACGAGACACGCCGCUCCUCCCAACUCUGUGAAGGGUGCUAUUCCCACCGUGACUCAAGUGAGGAACCUGAGGCUCAAGGAAGUGAAGCCACUCAUCCCACCCCACUGGCCUGUCAUUAGGGAUUUAGGGAUGGAGAUGCAAAUAUUAACAAAGGGAGUCUGGCUUUCUGGUAUGAGUAGACAGCUUAUGUCAGCCAAGCUCCUCCAAGUGGGGGAAGUCAGAGUCUGCUUCCCUGGAGCCUGGGGGAGUGACCCUGGCCUUGAAGGGCAGUGUAAUGGUGAAUUUUCUUCAAGGCCAGCUUUUAGAAUAGUUAGGGUUGUGGUGGCCACCCUUCCUCCCAAGAUGAGCCCCGUACGCUGGAGUGGGGGUUGUUGAUAGUUGGGUGAUUCUGGUCAGGCCCAGGCAGGCUAAAAUCAGCACAGAGGAGCUAGGAUCUUCAGCCAUUGGAACCAAUCUGAUCACUGCCCUGCUUUGAGAAGAUUUGUUAUUUUGAAUGUUCAGGGACAGAAAUGCAGAAUGAAUGAGCAUUGUAUCUGGUGAACUCAGAAAUCAGGGACUUUCUUGGACUGACAUGGCUCCCACUCCAGAACCACAGACAACUUUCCUGGCAUGAUGCUGGAGCAGAAUGUGGCUAAAUGGAAUGUAUUCCAGGAAAGCCAUUUUACAGUCUCCUCUGAGGGGUGGAUCUUGGGUAGUGGUGGGGAGGAGGGAUGCAGGAAGCAACCCUACUCACGGGAAGUCUGGUCUGGGGAAGAUGUAGGAUGACAACCAAAUAAAACACUUCAGUCCCAA